AACGUCUGUUUGGUACAAUCUGGUUCACAUCAUAAUGGUUCUUUUGCCAACAGGAGCUGGUAAUCAGGAUGACAGUGAGGCAGGCACUUGCUUGCAGAAGAACAGGCCUAGGUUUUUAAGAAGCCACCAAAGUGUCUUUGGAUGAUUAGGAUCUAAGGGGCCAACAGCUUUGCAAUAACAGCAUAAAUAUUGUGGGCUGGAUGGACAGGCACCAAAUGGGGACAUUCCAUCCUGCUGUGUGAUGAGAAAGCUGCCACUUUUGAGGCCUUCCAAAACAAAUAAACACUCCAUAUGCCAGAGGAAAAGCCCAGGAAAGACCUAUUCCAACUGGAGAUGGUGAAUGUUACUUCUUCAAGAAGCUGAGAUCCAGCUGGUACUGCCAGGUGGAGAGAAUAUGAAGGGAGAAUGAAACAAAACUGCUCCGCUCAGGGAACUUGGAAAGGAAAUUGAAAGGGCAAGGCACAGGCUGGAAGAAAAUAUUUGAAAAAGAUUUAUGUGACAAAGAACUUCUUUCUGGAUUAUACAAAAUAUUUUUAGAUAUUCUUACAACUCUAAAAUAAGAUAACUCCUUAAAAAUGUGAAUUCUACCAAAGGAGAGAUAAAGAUGACAAAUACAUUCAAAGAUGCUGAAAAUCACUUAUUUAUUAUUAGGAAGUUACAAGCUAAAGCAUAAUGAGAUACCACUACAACCUACUAAACUGACUAAAAUUAAUCAGACUAACCAGGUGUUGGCAAGAAACAGGGACACUGAGACUCUCACACUGCUGGAAGGAAUGUAAAAUGUUAAAACUUCUUUGGAAACAAGUUCAGUGACUUUUUAAACAGUUGAAAAUAGACCUAUCAUGCAAACCAGCAAUCCCACUUCUAGGUAUUUAUCCAAGGAAAAUGACAACAUAUGCCCACACAAAGACUUGUGCACAAAUGACCGUAGCAGCUUUGUGGUAAUUGCUAAAAACUAGAAACUUGUCAAGUGUCCAACAGCUAAGGAAAUUGAGACAAACUACAUAAGUUGCUGAAAAAUCACAGCAAAUAAUUAGCUGACGAAGAGACUCAAAUCUAUCAGAACUGCUUGACUUUUGAUCCUGAGCUUAUGCGCAUCCAGUGGGCAAGUGAGGGUGCAUGGGUUUGUGAAGACUCCAGCAGUAUGAUUGGGGGUACAGGGUGAACUCCGAGACCAUCUCUCCUAUUCAUUUACAUCCUCGGAACUUAGCACGACAUCUGACUAUAGUGGAUUUUCAAUAAACAACUAUGGGGUGGAGGCAUGGGGCACUAAUGCAGGAAUCACCACACCUACUUAGAAAGAAGGCAUUUACCUAAUUGCAAAGGAACACAUCCUGCCUGCAGACAAUAAAUGGUAUGUGAUGCUUCCAUGAAGUGAGAUGGAUGGAGCUCUCCGUUGCUAACUGGCCCGUAACCACGGUCAUUAAUCACACACGGCACGCCCAUUGCCAGUAAUGGACUUCACCCCAGAAAACUCCAACUCGUGGUGCCAACGGGUUAAAGGGAAGGCCUCGCCUCUUAUGGAAAUAUGGGUGUCCCUUCGGGAUUAACCCUGGCAUUUGCCACCCCUCAUCCACUGAAAAGCCCUUUUAAUUGAUUUUUCUUCCUAUUCCCUCCAAUCUGUCAAGAAUUCACUUGCCAGCCUCUGCAUGGACCCAGAGACACUGCCUGAACUAUAUGAAUUGCUAAGAAGCUGUUAGUCU